rnacentral:lncRNA from 10 species
AAGCAGAAAUCUGGCAGCUAGUGGAGUCUGAGUCCUUAUAUGGAAGGCAUCAUCAGUACCAGCAAGGACACACAUACAGCCACAAAGCAAGACCUAGGAGAAAUAUUUGGUGCUCUACUCUCCUAGGGAACUGGAAGGAACCUGCUCUCUCCUGGGUAUACUUUUCUAAUUUUAGAGUGCUAAAGAAGCUCUUCUCACAGGGACCCGAGUGAAUCCUUUCUCCUUGGAACAAAGGACAAGAAAAAAAGAAAGGACUUUACCGCAGAAAUGAUGAAGAUCAUGUCUCCAAGUCUUUUCUGCCGUUGCCAGUAUUCUCUCCCAAUCUCCUGUGGGCAACUUCUUCGGGAAAACACUCAUGCAAUUUCAUAAGGACAAGCGAAAAUAUGAAGAAGCUGGAUCUUGGAACUAGGCUUUGAUCACAGAGCGGAGCUGAGAUGAAAGUCCAUCCACUCAUUCAACAAAUAAUUGAGUACUUACAAAAAUUUCUGCUGUAUGGAGCUUAUAUAGUAAUGCCACAUUUUGUUGGAACUCAGAGUUAUGAGUGGCCCUCGCCAUACCUACACUUUCUGACUGAGCUCCUCUCUACCCUGAAUACAAGAGACCCUAAUAGGCAGGAAUAUCAUCACCCCUCUUCAGCCUGAAGAUGUUACAGAAGAUGGAUAUUUGUCCGUUUACAACCCUUAAGAUUAAGGGUUCCCCUGUAAAAGGGAGGGGGAAAAUAUGUCAGAGAUGUUUGAACCAGAGCAACUUCGUCCUGAAUAGUGGCUCGGUAAAGUGAGGCUGACACCUAUGGACUGCAUUCCCAGGAGGUUAGGCAUUCUUAGUUACGGGAUGAAAUAGGAGUUUGGCACAAGAUGGGUCAUAAAGACCUUGCUGAUAAAAGGAUGUGGUACAGAAGCUGGCCAAAACUCACCAAAAUCAAGAUGUGAUGAAAGUGACUUCUGGUAGUCCUCACUCCUCAUUACACUAAUUAUAAUGCAUUAGCAUGCUAAAAGACACGUUCACCAGCACCAUUAUGGUUUACAAAUGCCAUGGCAAUAUCAGCAAGUUACCCUAUAUGGUCUUAAAAGGGGAGGAACCCUCAGUUCUGGGAAUUGCCCACCACUUUCCCAGGAAACUCAUGAAUAAUCCACCCUUUAUUUAGCAAAUAAUCAAGAAAUAACUAUAAGUAUAAUCAGUUGAGCAGCCCAUGCCACUGCUCUGCCUGUGGAAUAGCCACUCUUUUAUUCCUUUACUUUUUUAAUAAACUUGUUUUCACUUUAC